rnacentral:rRNA from 1 species
UUGUUUUUUAAUUGAGAACUGGCAUGAAGGGUUUGACUACAAGGGGCUGUUAGAACCGCAGGCACAUAAAUUGUAUUUUUAGUAAAAAUACUAAGAUAAUUUGAGGGGACGAUAAGACCCUAGAAGCUUUAAUUGUUAGUCGGGUGCGAGUUAAAGUUAUUUACGAAGCGAGUAGUAAGGUUAGCUGGGGUAGUUUACCUAUAUAAACUAGGUUUAGUUAAUGUUUUAAAAAAAGUUAAUAGAUCUUUGAGAUGAAGAUGGUUUGAUUUAGUUACUCUAGGGAUAACAGCGUGAUAGUUUCAGAUAGUUCUUAUAGACGGAGCUGAUUGCGACCUCGAUGUUGAAUUAGGUAAAUUUUUGUGAGGCAAAAGGCACAAGAGAGGGUUUGUUCAACCUGUAAGAUCCU